rnacentral:tRNA from 1 species
GGCCCCUUCGUCUAUCGGCUAGGACAUCAGGUUCUCAUCCUGAGAAGAGGAGUUCGACUCUCCUAGGGGCUGCCA